GUUUGAUCAUUGAUUACGGCUCAUUUUUCACUUCCUGGCUCAGUGAAGCUGGAUUCUUCAACGUCAGCAGCUCCUCCACAUCCUGGCCGCGCUCCAGGUUUUCUGUCUCUCCGUCCUCAGAUUAACCUGUCAGCUGUGGAAUCUCCACUGUUCAGUGUUUGGCAGGUAAAGCUGGCCAGGUGACUCUGUACCUGAGUCUGCGGCUCCCUGCAGGUAGCUGCCAUUCCCUGCGCCAAUCAGCACAGUCUAGACUGAGAAACCAGACUUUGAGACCCACCCACGCGCUGGAACAGUACCCAUCCAGGUUCAACCACCCAGCAGUGCAGGGGCUGGUGCUUUAGCCUUCGGGUAACGAUGGUUUCUCGAGGACCAAAAGGGAUCCAAAAGCUGCACCCCUUCCCAGAGGGCCAGACUUUUGCGAACCCAAGGCUACGUGUGAAUACCUGCACGCUGUCUCGGAGUACCUGUAUGAACCUGUGCUGUCAUUUUACCGCGAAGUUCUGAGCACGUGUUCCAUCCCCUCUGGCUGAGCUUCUGUAUUACGAUGACGAACUGCUGAUGCCUUAGAUCUCCCGUUGACGUCAGGGAAAGGGACUUUCUAUUGGUUAAUGUGACAGCUCGGGGUGCUUCUAUUGGUUAUUGUGAUAGCAAAGAGUGGUUCUAUUGGCCAAGAGGGUGAAUUGAGGGCUCAGUGAGCCUUUCUGCCCUUCCAAAGUAAUCCUCUCAGAUCUGAUCAUUUUUUAUGAUAAAAUGACAUAACCCUGCCAAAAAAAGAAUGUAAUUAAUACUCUUCUCUUUGAAAAACUGUCUUUCCAGGCAGUACCCCUGAUGUAAACUGGCACGUCCGUCUCUCCUGGUUCACGAACAAGCUUGUCUCUGACAUUAUGCAGAGCCACGAAGUCUGGUGAACGUUUCAAAAUGUCAGAAUUCUUCAAAGAAGAUUUGCACGCCGGUAUUAUAAACAAGGGCCUAAAAAUCCAUUUCCUUUCAAGUAGUACAUUCUGAGUCCUUAAAAAAAAAAAAAAAAAAAAAUUCAGUUGGUUCUCCUUUAUAACGCGAACUGGAUUCCGGAAUAUGGAGCUGUUGUACUUUCCUUUGAGAAGACUGUUGCUGCCUUGCUCUGGGGGUUAUGAGGGCUUGACUUUCCCCUCCGUGGUAAAUGAAUAAAGAAGGUAGAACAGCCCUCACUUUCUGUGGACGAAGCUGC